CAGAUUCACAUGGAGAAGAAUUAAGGGUUCCUGCCAAUCACCAGCACCACUUUGCCAGCCUUGUAAGUGGGCCACCUUGGAAUUGGAGCCUCCAGUUCCUACUGACAUCUGACUGCAACAUCAUGAGAGACCCUGAGUUUGAACCACCCAGCUGAGCUGCUUCUGAGCUAACCCACUGAAACCGUGAAAGUACCUGAAUGAAACAACACCCAGUAGCCACUAGCACACCUAGCUCCCAGAUCUGUUUUUGAUGCCAUUCUUCAGUAAAAGGAAGCAAGGCUGCUUGGAGAAAUUGCUAUCAAGGACUGGGGUAGAAAAUAUACAAGAUGAAAUUGGAGCAUCUUGUAGUGCUUGAAAACAGUUGGCAUCUGUGUGAAGAUGUGAAUGGAGGAGGCAGAGUAGGCAGUGAGUGCCGCAGCCACAGCUUGUGUUCUCUGCAGCCCUGGCACAGAAGAUAGGAACACUCAUGGGGGAUGCGGCCACUGUGAUGUCUUCCCACACAAGAAGUGCCAAGUGCUUUUCUCAUGCUUUUCUGGAUUGUCCCAUGGUGGACGAGUCAGCAGGAGUGAGAUGGAGCAGCACAGUAGAGGGCACCUGCUCUGUUUUGUCCCAGGCCAGGAUAUCGUUGUACAUAUUCUCAGCUAAGUGAGCACCAAUAGAGGAGAGGGAGAGUCUCAUGGAAGUUCCUUCUAAGCCUUUGGCUCUUUUUACCUUCAACAAGGUGUGCCACCUCUUUGAUCCAGCAAGUGGGAAGAACAGUCCCGGCCUCUUUGCACACAAGACCGUGAUACCAAUGCACCAUCACAGGCCCCACAGGGGAGCUGUCCGCUUCCCCACACAGCUGCUAGGGGCUCUUUUGCAUGUUCCCAACCUUUCCUGCCUUUAUCUGAUAUUCGUUCCUUAGAUCCUGGGAUGAGGAGGUGGACCAGCAGAAGGUGGGCUUGUGAAGGCAGCCCGGGGUCCAAAUCCUCCUGGCUCUUCAGCUUAGCGGGUUAGUUAACAUUCAGAAGCCUUCAUCUCCCAUCUGCAAAAUGGGCAUGUCCAACUCAGAAGCUGCCUUGAAGAAAGGGUCUACCCAGCAUGGUGCGUGGAGCCUAAGCAGUCAGUACUUCAGGACUUCACCCGGCCCCUUUCCAAUAACUGCUGCUGUCGCCCUCACAGGAUGUCACCUUCAGCGUCUGAAAGCUGGGUUUGAUGCGUCUGGAAAGGCGUCCCUGACAGGCGUCGUUGCCAGGAGCCCCUAGUGCCACCAGCAGCCAGCAGGGGAGGGCGUCCUCUGCCCGCUCACUUCUGACCCUUCUCUCGUUGCACCCGGAACAUGGUGCAGCUGGGAGCAGCCUGGGCUGCGCGGAAGGCUCAGAUUUGGGGACGGCCCUUGCCAGUGACUGUGAGCUGGGGUGUCUUGGAAACUCCCAGUCUCAGCUUCUCCAUUUAUAAGAUGAGAAUGAUCAUACCAGACUCAGGCAAGGUUGUUUGUGCAUUAGUGAAAUCAGACGUAUUAAAUAAAGUACCACAUUGAUCGUGGAGUUGUUGAAUAACCAA
rnacentral:lncRNA from 1 species